rnacentral:rRNA from 1 species
AGUGAACGCUGGCGGUGGGCCUAACACAUGCAAGUCGAACGGCAGCACAGUAAGAGCUUGCUCUUAAGGGUGGCGAGGGGCGGGCGGGUGAGGAAUAGAUCGGAAUCUACUUUUUCUGGGGUGACAACGUAGAGAAACUGAUGCUAAUACCUCAUAUGACCUACGGCUUGAAUCAGUGGAGCUUCACACCUUGCGUGUCUGAUUGAGAUGAUGUCGGAUUAGCUAGUUGGCGGGGUAACGGCCCACCAAGGCAACGAUCCGUAGCUGGUCUGAGAGGAUGAUCAGCCACACUGGAACUGAGACACGGUCCAGACUCCUACGGGAGGCAGCAGUGGGGAAUCUUGCACAAUGGGCGCAAGCCUGACCCAGCCAUACCGCGUGGGUGAUGAAGGCCUUCGGGUUGUAAAGCCCUUUUGUUAGGAAAGAAAAACUGCAGGUUAAUCCAUCGCUGUUUUGACGGUACCCAAACAAUAAGCCCCGGCUAACUUCGUG